UGGGGAAUAUUGGGGCAAUGGACGCAAGUCUGACCCAGCAACGCCGCGUGAAGGAAGAAGGCUUUCGGGUUGUAAACUUCUUUUGUCAGGGACGAUAGUGACGGUACCUGACGAAUAAGCCACGGCUAACUACGUGCCAGCAGCCGCGGUAAUACGUAGGUGGCAAGCGUUGUCCGGAUUUACUGGGUGUAAAGGGCGCGUAGGCGGGAUAGCAAGUCAGGAGUGAAAUCCAUGGGCUCAACCCAUGAACUGCUUUUGAAACUGUUAUUCUUGAGUAUCGGAGAGGCAGGCGGAAUUCCUUGUGUAGCGGUGAAAUGCGUAGAUAUAAGGAAGAACACCAGUGGCGAAGGCGGCCUGCUGGACGACAACUGACGCUGAGGCGCGAAG
rnacentral:rRNA from 1 species